GCUUAGUUCUUUAAAAUAUGGGGUGUUUUCUGUGUGACUACUACUUCUCCCGUAUGGGUUGUACUACCCUUUCUUUCACUAGAUGGCGAUCUGCUUCUUUCAACCAAAAAAAAAAAAGGAAAAUGCUUAUCAAUAAUUGAUAUAUCUAGCCCAAUUAACUGAACCUUGAAAUGUUCAUAAACCGGACCAAACCUGGAAUUAGUGUUCCAGUUUCUUCAAGGUUCUCUCUCACAGCAACUUUCCCAGCUUUCCUCGGUAACACUGCUGACUCACAGGUCUGCACCCAAAAUUUAAUAAGAAAUUAACACUAAAAUUUAGUGAAGAUAACAGACGAUACAGGUCCCGUGGAAGAGCUAAAAGCAUAAAAUUGAAGAGCGUUGGGCCCCUUAGUUCUGAGAAAGCAU
rnacentral:lncRNA from 1 species